rnacentral:rRNA from 1 species
AUUGAACGCUGGCGGCAUGCCUUACACAUGCAAGUCGAACGGUAACAGGUCUUCGGAUGCUGACGAGUGGCGAACGGGUGAGUAAUACAUCGGAACGUGCCUAGUAGUGGGGGAUAACUACUCGAAAGAGUGGCUAAUACCGCAUGAGAUCUACGGAUGAAAGCAGGGGAUCGCAAGACCUUGUGCUACUAGAGCGGCCGAUGGCAGAUUAGGUAGUUGGUGGGAUAAAAGCUUACCAAGCCGACGAUCUGUAGCUGGUCUGAGAGGACGAUCAGCCACACUGGGACUGAGACACGGCCCAGACUCCUACGGGAGGCAGCAGUGGGGAAUUUUGGACAAUGGGCGAAAGCCUGAUCCAGCAGUGUCGCGUGCAGGAUGAAGGCCUUCGGGUUGUAAACUGCUCUUGUACGGAACGAAAAGCCCCGGGUUAAUACCCUGGGGUCAUGACGGUACCGUAAGAAUAAGCACCGGCUAACUACGUGCCAGCAGCCGCUGUAA